rnacentral:rRNA from 1 species
CCUACGGGUGGCAGCAGUGAGGAAUAUUGGUCAAUGGACGAGAGUCUGAACCAGCCAAGUAGCGUGAAGGAUGAAUGCCCUAUGGGUUGUAAACUUCUUUUAUAAAGGAAUAAAACGAGGCAAGUGUGCCUUUUUGAUUGUACUUUAUGCUUAAGGAUCGGGUAACUCCGGGACAGCGGCCCCGGUCAUACGGAGGAUCCGGUCGUUAUCCGGAUUUAUUGGGUUUAAAGGGAAGGUAGAUGGGUUGUUAAGUCAGUUGUUAAAGUUUGGGACUUAACCGUAAAAGUGCAAUUGAUACUGGCAGACUUGAGUACAGAUGAGGUAAGCGGAAUGCGUGGUGUAGCGGUGAAAUGCUUAGAUAUCACGAAGAACCCCGAUUGCGAAGGCAGCUUACUAAACUGUGACUGACAUUGAUGCUCGAAAGUGUGGGUAUCAAACAGGAUUAGAUACCCUAGUAGUC